rnacentral:lncRNA from 1 species
GGCCAACAAUGCCAAAUCCACUACCACACAACUUCACUAAAAUUAAAGUCCACCACUAACAUCACCAGAUCCACCUGCACCACCACCCAAAAACCAAUCGCUUGAAUCCAAUAAGAAUGGACAAAAUCUCAUAGAUCCACCUGUACCACAGGCGCCACAACCAACAGGCAUCCCUUCUCUUCUCCGGCUCCGAUUUGUUGCAAAUAACC